ACGAGUUAGGGCCUCUGGCCCGAACCUCCAACCCUUUGUAUCAAAACCUCGUUGCCUCGGGGAGGCCCUGCCUCACGGCUGGCCCCCCGAUGGACCACUAAACUCUGCAUCUGUAUGACGUCUGAGUAAGGAUUUUAAAUUAAAUCA
rnacentral:misc_RNA from 1 species